AUACUUACCUGGACGGGGUUAAUAGAUGAUCAUGAAGGUCUAUGGCCUAGGGUAGUGACCUUCAUUGCACUUGGAAAGGGUACUACUCUAAGGUCUGUCCAAGUGAUAGAGCCUACGUCAUAAUUUGUGGUAGUGGGGCUUGCGUUCGCGCAGCCCCUUC